rnacentral:rRNA from 1 species
UGGGGAAUUUUGCACAAUGGGGGAAACCCUGAUGCAGCGACGCCGCGUGUACGAUGAAGAUCUUCGGAUUGUAAAGUACUGUCCUUGGUGAAGAUAAUGACUGUAACCAAGAAGCAAGCCCUGGCUAAAUACGUGCCAGCAGCCGCGGUAAUACGUAUGGGGCAAGCGUUGUCCGGAAUUAUUGGGCGUAAAGGGUACGUAGGCGGUUAUUUAAGUCUAAAUUAAAAGGCAUUGGCUCAACCAAUGUAAGGUUUAGAUACUGGGUAACUUGAGUAGAUGAGGGGAAAGUGGAAUUCCAUGUGUAGCGGUGAAAUGCGUAGAUAUAUGGAGGAACACCAAUGGCGAAGGAAACUUUCUGGAAUCAAACUGACGCUGAGGUACGAAGGCGUGGGGAGCAAACAGG